UACGUAGGUGGCAAGCGUUGUCCGGAUUUAUUGGGUUUAAAGGGUGCGUAGGCGGCCCCUGUAAGUCAGUGCUGAAAUAUCCCAGCUUAACUGGGAGGGUGGCAUUGAUACUGCGGGGCUAGAGUACAGAUGAGGUAGGCGGAAUUGACGGUGUAGCGGUGAAAUGCUUAGAUAUCGUCAAGAACACCUAUAGCGAAGGCAGCUUACUAGGCUGUAACUGACGCUGAGGCACGAAAGUGUGGGGAUCAAACAGG
rnacentral:rRNA from 1 species